UUUAAUGCACAUAUGUGGCAUAGUUAUAAUAAUUUCUCUAUUUUAUAUAGUGCCAACAUAUUCUGCAGCACUGUACAGAGCUUAUCAUCAUUCACAGCCUUCAUUCUAAAUGAAUCUAUCAGUAUGUUUUUGGACUUUGUGAGUGUACUGGAGUACCCAUAGAAAAACCACACAACCAUGAGAAGAACAUCCAAAGACCUUGUAGAUGGUGCCCUCAAGAGAAGAAAUGCAGAGUGGAUAUGAACAUACUGGAUGGAAACGUGCGGCUGAAUCAGAGUAUAAAUGGAAAAGUGAGAGGAGUCAGUGACUGUCCAUAGUAAAGGCUCGGCAGUACUGACUGUGAUGACUGAUAUGAUUUCACGCAUUUCCUAUGAAGAAGGACAAGACGGGGAUGAAUAUGGAG